rnacentral:rRNA from 1 species
UAGGGAAUCUUCCGCAAUGGCCGAAAGUCUGACGGAGCAACGCCGCGUGAGUGAUGAAGGCUUUCGGGUCGUAAAACUCUGUAGUUGGGGAAGAACAAGUGCUAGUUGAAUAAGCUGGCACCUUGACGGUACCUAACCAGAAAGCCACGGCUAACUACGUGCCAGCAGCCGCGGUAAUACGUAGGUGGCAAGCGUUAUCCGGAAUUAUUGGGCGUAAAGCGCGCGCAGGUGGUUUCUUAAGUCUGAUGUGAAAGCCCACGGCUCAACCGUGGAGGGUCAUUGGAAACUGGGAGACUUGAGUGCAGAAGAGGAAAGUGGAAUUCCAUGUGUAGCGGUGAAAUGCGUAGAGAUAUGAAGGAACACCAGUGGCGAAGGCGACUUUCUGGUCUGUAACUGACACUGAGGCGCGAAAGCGUGGGGAGCAAACAG